rnacentral:lncRNA from 1 species
GAAGAUCUGCUCAGCUCAGCUCUCUCUGCGCUCGAUCCGUCAAGUACUUGUCUUCUCCCUCCUUCGUUUCGCCGUUGUUGCCUCUUUUCCUGGUCCCAAUCAUCAACAUAUUACCACUUCCUUUUGAUUUCAUCGUGGUAAAAUUGAAUUCUAAAUCUCUAUUUUUUUCCAUUUAAAUUCGUAUGAUUUAUCUUCAGUUAUUUUAUUUGUCUGAAAAAUCUCUAGGGGAAAGUAUAUAAGUUGUUUGGUUUGAAUUAUCGGAAGCCAGAAAGGGCGCCACCGGCAUGUCCCUACAGGCUACAUGCCUGCUGCCGACAACAAGAUCAAUGAUAUAGUAUGUGCAUAUUUUUGUUGUAUGUAUACAUACAUAUAUAUGGCUAAUUUGGGGUUUUUGCUUAUUUUGUUUUAUUCUACUGACAACCUGUUAAUGUAAAUUGCCUUUGAAAAAUUGUUGCUUAAAUACUUGUUGGAUUAGUUUAGUGUUCAAACUUAAAACUAAAUGCCUACAGUAUAAGGAUAAAGUUAAAUGCGUUAUUCCGGAAUUUUAAUUUUUAAGUUAGUGCCAUUAAUUUUUUUAGUACUAGUAGUAGACUAGGAAAGGAACCUACGUAAUCCUUGAAGAAGGAUAUCCUAUUUAUUAAUAAGUUGUUUAAAUAAGUUAUUUACUAAUAAAUUAUUUAAAUAAUAAGUUGUUUAGCAAUAAUAAUUCGUUUACCAAUAAUAAAGUAUUUACCAAUAAGCUGGUUAAAUAAGUUAUUUACCAAUAAGCUGUUUAAAUUAGUUGUUUACCAAUAACUGUUUAAAUAAUAAGUUGUUUACCAAUAAGGUUUUUAAAUAAGUUGUUUACCAAUAAGUUGUUUAAAUAAUAAGCUGUUUACGAAUAAUAAGUUCCUUAAAUAAUAAGUUGUUUACCAAUAAGUUGUUUAAAUAAUAAGUUGUUUAGCAAUAAGGUUUUUAAAUAAGUUGGUUACCAAUAAACUGUUUAAACAAUAAGUUGUUUACCACUAAGCUAUUUAAAUAAGUUGUUACCAAUAAGUUGUUUAAAUAAUAAGCUAUUUACCAAUAAUAAGUUAUUUACCAAUAAGCAAUUGAAAUAAGUUAUUUUCCAAUAAUAACCUAUAUUGAGUCAAUGUAUCUUUUUAUAAUGUCAUUUUUAAUAAUCUUUAUAUUUUAUUUUAACUUAUAAGUCAUUAUCAGCCGAACACCUUCAUAACUUGUUUUAACUUAAUUUUUUAUUUAUAAGUCAUUAUCAGCCGAACACUUUUACUUAUAAGUCAAUUUAUAUUUGAACUUAUAAGCCAUUUAAAAAUAAGUCACUCCUAAACAGGCGCUCAAACAGUAGAAAGCUACUAAGUUGAUUUGACCAACUUAUAAGUAGUUCCCGAACAGCCCCUUGAUCACAACGCCUUGGGUCAAUCAAUUGAAGCCCCAAUUCAAUCCGUACCAGAGCUUAAUCAACAACCAAACUCCACUCGAUUACAUUCCGAUUCUAGGUUUGCUCCACCUUCCUAUUUCUUUUAUUCAUCUAGCAUAUGUAUAAUUAUUUAGAGGGGGAGGGUUUACUCUGUCUAAUUAUAGUCCGAAUUUGCUUGACCUGUUGAUUCGUUAAAAGUAGUGAUUUUUAUUGUAGU